rnacentral:rRNA from 1 species
UACAGGGGUCUCAAGCGUUGUUCGGAUUCAUUGGGCGUAAAGGGUGCGUAGGCGGUGGGGCAAGUCAGGUGUGAAAUCCCUGGGCUCAACCCAGGAACUGCAUCUGAAACUGGUUGCCUUGAGUGUUGGAGAGGGAAGCGGAAUUCCUGGUGUAGAGGUGAAAUUCGUAGAUAUCAGGAGGAACACCGAUGGCGAAGGCAGCCCCCUGGGCUAACACUGACGCUCAUGCACGAAAGCGUGGGGAGCAAACAGG